CCUACGGGAGGCAGCAGUAGGGAAUCUUCCACAAUGGGCGCAAGCCUGAUGGAGCAACACCGCGUGAGUGAAGAAGGGUUUCGGCUCGUAAAGCUCUGUUGUUGGAGAAGAACGUGCGUGAGAGUAACUGUUCACGCAGUGACGGUAUCCAACCAGAAAGUCACGGCUAACUACGUGCCAGCAGCCGCGGUAAUACGUAGGUGGCAAGCGUUAUCCGGAUUUAUUGGGCGUAAAGCGAGCGCAGGCGGUUGCUUAGGUCGGAUGUGAAAGCCUUCGGCUUAACCGAAGAAGUGCAUCGGAAACCGGGCAACUUGAGUGCAGAAGAGGACAGUGGAACUCCAUGUGUAGCGGUGGAAUGCGUAGAUAUAUGGAAGAACACCAGUGGCGAAGGCGGCUGUCUGGUCUGCAACUGACGCUGAGGCUCGAAAGCAUGGGUAGCGAACAGGAUUAGAUACCCGAGUAGUC
rnacentral:rRNA from 1 species